CGCAGCCACUGGGGCCGGCCGCGCCGAUGCCGUUUUUCUCAGCAGAGAACCUGGGAGCUCAGGGCUGGUCCUAGAGCUAAGAGGAAAACAGAGGUUUGCAGAAUUGAAAGAGGCACGUGUACCCCAAUGGUCAUUGCAGCACUGUUUGCAAUAGCCAAGACGUGGAUGCAACCUAGAUGCCCAUCAGCAGACGAAUUGGUCACUGCUGCUUCUGCUGGAAUGUGAGGAGAGGCAAUACUUCAUCCAUCCCCAAGGGGAGGCUUCACGGAGAGUACGGAGGAGAGGCUGUUGUUCUUCGAAACCCGGAGAAACGGAUCUUCCUUAUGCAGAGAAGACCCAGUGGAGAGAGGAAGGCUGUAACUUGAAGUGGUUUGUGAACAUCAUCCAACUUGAAAAAGCAGUGGGAUUUGAAUUUGAUGUAGUCUACCAUCUGGAAAAAAACUUGGCAGCUAAUAAACGAUUAACAUUUAUCCAAAUAGUCUUGUGUAUAAUCAGAUGUUGCGAAGGUUGUGUGUAAC